CUGAGAACGUCCCGUGACCAGUACAGGAAAGACAGCUAGCUCAGAAGGGGGAGUUCAAGCCCUAUGUUUUUUUGUUUUGGGUUUUGUUUGCUUUUGCUUUUGCUUUUGCUAUUCUUCCUUUGGCAAUUUUGUAGUCACAUUUAUUAUGCUUUCUUGUGGGUACAUCGAACCCCCUAUCUACCCUUCUAUCUAGCUACCUAUCUAUUUUGGGAUGGAGAAAUUAACUGGGGGUGCAGAGGUGGGCUCAGGUUGCAAGUAGAUUGCUUCGCACACCUUCCUGUUAAUAUAUUUUAAAUUCUCAGCUAUGUGCAGUGGAGUAUUGAACCUACACAUACAAUGAAUGUUCAGUCCUUCGGUGGCAAGAUAUUAAAAGGAGGGUGGGGAUGGAAGAAAGACAGAGAGAGAGUGAGCACGAGCGAGCAUGGGUGGUUUGAUUGAUGCAGCUAGACUGAAUCUUCAUCCCGAAACGAGAGAAAGAAUGCCUCCUGUGCACCUGUUAAUCCUCUGCCCUCACCUUAGCUCAGGCUGCAGGAACACACAGAAAUCACCUUUGUACAGAGGAAACGGUCUCUGAUAAAGAAGGCACACUUCAUACACACACACACACACACACACACACACACACACGGACCACCUCCCUGCCACCCACCAGUGAAUCACAGGCCUCGCCUUGGAAUCCAGCCUCUCAGAACGGCGACGCGGUGACCUGGAAGGAGAGGUUAAAAAUCACACGGACUAUCUUACUUAAGAUGAGAUCUCGUCGUGAAAGAUUUCAGAAACGUUAGAACAUGCAAAUGUUUUAGAAAUACAUCUUGUAAGAUACAAGAUCUGAUUUGAUCUCGUCCCUUCACCCCUCGUGUGAAGAGAGCCUCCUUCUAACCAAAAACAAACAGCAACAACAAAACCAAGGCACUUUGUCUGGCUAAGUUUAGGUUUCAGAAAUUGGAAUCUGCCAGUUUUCUCAAGAAUAUACCUCUGUGGUCUCAGACAUACUCUCAACUGGAAAGAGACAAAAGCGGCCCAGAAAAUUGCAGACUGUGAGGCAGGAUGAAGAAGAGGAAUCCCAACACUGUUCAUCCAUGUUAUGCGGAAACAGGGGCUGGCGGUGAAGGGGAGAUUGUAGCACAAGGGGAGCAGGUGCUUGGAGAGAUUUCUGCUGAAUCCCCUGAGCCUUAGAAAGGACGGGGGGUUGCUCUGCUUCUCCGGGGGCCCAGUAUUCUCUGGUCAGUGGGUAUUCUGGGCCACCUGCUCCCCAGUGGCCUGAUGCAGGACCAUCCACCAGCAGCCACCCAUGCAAGGGCCAUGUUGAAAUGUGCCAGCGCCUACGUGUAGACGGUACUUAUGGCAUUUAUAUCAUCAUUUUCAUCACUGGGCGGUCUGGAUAAUAAAAACCACUCUGAGGCCUCAAGAACACCAUACUAUUUUAAAGUCAAUUUCUUGUGAGGAUUUUUUUUUCUUCCCUGAAGAAAGAAGAAGACUGCUGAUAGAAUAGUUCAGAGAUGAUUGGCAAGCCAACAAGAAUGCUCCGGAUUUUUUUUUUUUUUUUGACAGAGAAGAAGAAGAAAAAUCUAAUCAGAAAGUAGUUUGAAGACUUAGAACAAAAGGUCACGCAACACGAUCAGAUCCUGGGAAAGACUAGACCUUUGAUGGACAGAGUCCUGCGAGAUACGGAGCAGGUGUCCAGGCUGGAGCCUGAUGGAAAAUCAGAAAAAAAAAAAAAAAAAUCUCUUGCAUGAUCUCAGAGAAGAGGGAAGAAAACUUUUUGGGAUGAGAAAGUUGCUCGGGCCAAAGAGUGGUGACCUGUGAAGAUAGAAAACCGUCCAAUUUCCUCCCGACCAGCAGGCAACUGUUGGGAUGUUGGCCACCAACGCGUUUUAUCGUUCAGACUAAGACAUGGGACCUCGAGAAUAAGAGUGUCCUACAACACCCCAAGCAGUGGUUCUCAGCUGGGGACCAUCUGGGGCUCCUCACUGCCCCCGCCGGGGGACGCUGCACAACAUCUGCAGACAUCCUGGUUGGUGCAGCUCCAGCGCGGGUGCUGCUAUCAUCUCGGGGGGCAGGCCCGGGGGUGAGACCGACCCUGCCACAGCGCACAGGACAGCCCGCACGACGGAGAACUACGUGGGCUGAAAUGUCAAUAGGUCGAGGCUGAGAAAACAUGGUCUAAGUUAUUUGGGAUGACGUGGGCCUGGUAUCUUAAAUCUAUAUAUGUUGCAUACUAAUUAUUUCUUGCAUAUAACAUACGCGUGUGUACAUUUAUCUAUGUGGCUCAGGGUUUUUAACGCAUCUUGCCAUUGUAUGAACUCGCUCCCUGCUCUGGAGUCCACUCAGAUCUUGCAAAGCAGGAUUUUCUCGGCUAAGUUGAAACGCUUCAUUUUCAAGAAGACGAAGGCGAAGCUGGAUUAUAAAGAUAACCUUUCGAUGUGCGGAGAAAGACCGUUGGAGUGCAGCCAGCGGGCUAGUUCUGUGAGGCCCGUGCUGCUGUUUCCUCAUCUGCAACCGUGUGAGAAAAACAGCAUCUACCUCAGAGUCUCCCGGAGGAUUAAAUGAUAUAAAACACUCUCCUUGGUGUUUUGUGCACCGUAAACCCUGAUGACGUAUUUGCCAUUGUUUCUGCGGUCUUUAGCAUCGUACCUGAGUUGUCACACGGAGACAAAUUUAAAUUCAGAGUGAUCGACCGACAAAAAUUGAUAUAUCAACCCAGGAUAUUUUGGGUUGAUUCAAUUAAAUAAAUAAAUAAAAUAAAAUAAAUUCGCAA